AGUCUUCCAAAUCUUUUCUUCUUUUUCAGCUUAUUUUUACUAUUCUUAAUCUUUUGUGUUUUCAUAUACAUAUAAAAUCAGCUUGUUAAUUUCUACUACAAGCCUCAUGGAAUUUUGAUUGGGAUUGCACUGAAUUUGUAGGUCAAUUAGGGAAGAACGGAUACUUUAGCAAUAUUAAUUUUUCCCAUCCCUAAAUGUGUUAUAUGGUUUAAGUUUUUUAUUUAAUAACUUUUUGCAGUACGUAGUAGUUUUCAGAAUACAAGUCCUACCUAUCUUUUCUUAAAUUUAUUUUUGAAUAUUUUAUGUUAUUCCUUCAAUAGUAAAUGAAUUGCUUUUAAAUUUCAUUUUUUAAUAAUUUGCUGGUAUAAUUUUGAAAUAUAAUUAAACUUUGUGUAUUGACCUUAAUUCCUGUGACUUUGCUAAAUUCACUUACCAGUUCUAGUAGUUUUCGGGGUAGAUUCCUUAGAAUGUUUUAUAUAUACAAUCAUGUCAACUGCAAAAAAGACUGUUCUGCUUCUUUCUUUUAAAUUUUUAUACCUUUAUUUCUUGCUUACAUUGUUGUGCUAGAUAGGGCUUCCACUAUUCUGCUGAAUAGACAUGGAGACAGUGGGUACCUUGUUCCUGAACUAAGAAGCAUUCAAUAUUUCACCAAUAAGUAUGCCAUUAACUCUUCUUUCUUCAUAUAUUCCCAUUAUCAGGUUGAUGAAAUUCCUUUCUUUUCCUAGUGUUUUGAGAGGUUUUUUUUAUGAAUGGUGUGACAUUUUUUGACAUUUUCAAAAAUGUUUUUGCAUCAAUUGAGAUUUUAUUUUCUCUUUGAUUCUGUUAAUGUAAUGAAUUAGAACUAUUGAGUUCAUAACGUAAAACCAACCUUUAAUCCUGGCAUAAGCUCCAUUUAUUAAUAACAUUUAUCCUUUUCAUAUAAUGCUGAAUUUGAUUUGUUAAUAUUUUCUUGAGGACUUUGUAUAUUUAUUCAUGUAGGAUAUUAGUCUAUAAUUUUCUUUUCUUGUAAUGUCUUUGUCAGGUUGUAAUAACAGGGUUAUGCUGGCCUCAUUAAACUACUUGAAAAGCAUUUCCUUCUAUUUUCUCAAAGAGUUUGUAUAACACUGGUAUUAGUUUUGUGCUUAAACCUUUCAUAGAAUUUGUGAGUAAAGCCCUCUGGGCCGGGGUUUUCUUUGUUGAAAGGUUUUUAAUUAUGAAUUUAAUUUUGAAAAUGGAUAUAAAGCUCUUUGAAUUUUUCUAUUUCUUCCUGUGCUAAUUUUGGGAAGAUGUGCUUUUCAGGGAAUUUGUCCACUUGCUCUAAGUUGUUGAAAUUAUACGCAUAAAGUCAUUAAUGUUUUUGUCUUCUUGGAGAAUUGAAUCCCUUUUCAUCUUGUAAUAAGCCUAUCACUGGUAAUAUUUUUUGUCUGAAGCCUACCUUGAUAUUAAUAAAGCCACUUCAGCUUUCUUUUGAGUAGUGUCUGCAUGGAAUAUCUUCUUUCAUUCUUUUAGUUUUAAUCUAGUUAUCUCUUUAUAUCUAAAGUGGUAUUCUUGUAGGCAGCAUAUAGUUGGGCCUUGCUUUUUAUCUAAUCUAACAAUCUAUCUUUGAAUUAGUGUGGCUUACAUUUAAUGUGAUUAUUGAUAUGGUUGAAUUAAAAUCUACCAUCUAACCAGCUCUUUGCUGUUUCUUCCCUUUGUCCUUUGUUUCUUUUUUCCUUUCUUUUUGCUUCCUUUUCGAUUAAUUGAGCAUUUUCAUGAUUCAAUGUGAUUUCCACUAUUGAAUUAUCAUGCACACCUCUUUUGAAAAAGAUUUAGUACUUUUAGGGUUUACCAUGUACCUGGUAUUUAAUUGAAGUCCACUUUCACAUAAUAUCCUGUCAUGUCUAGUACAAAGACAAUAUAUCCCCAAUUUCUCCCUCUCAUUCUUCUUCUAUUCUUGCCACAUACUGACUCCUACAUAUGCUGUAAAUACACAAUACUACUAUUUUUGCUUUAGGUAGUUAUCUUUCAGAGCAAUUAAAAAUAAUAAAAAGUAAAUUUUGAACUUUGCUUACCUUUAGUUAUUCCAUUUACAGUGCUCUUAAUUUUUUUGUGUAGAUUCAAGCUUCUGUCUGCUAUUAUAUUCCUUCUGUCUGAGGAACUUUCUUCAAUAUUACUUAUAGCAUGGGUCUACUGGCAAUGAAUUCGCUCAGGUUUGGUUUUUGGUUUUGGUUCAGGAAAGUCUUUAUUUCUUGUUCCUUUUUGAAAGACAUUUUUGCUGGGUAUAGGAUUCUGACUUGACAGGUUUUUGUUGUUGUUCAGCUACAGAGACCUCAUUCCUUAUCUUCUGUCUUGUGUAGUUUCUGGAGAAGUCUACUGUAACUCUUAUCUUUAAUUUUUAUUCCUCUGUAUGGUAUGUGUCUUUUUUCACUGGCUGCCUUCAUAAUUUCCUUUGCCUUUGGUUUUCAGCAGCUUGUAUAUAAUAUGCCUAUGGUGUGGGAGUACUUUUGGUAGGGUAGCACUUAUCCUGCUUGGUGUUCUUUGAAUGUCUUGGAACUGUUGUUUCAUAUCUGUCAUUCAUUUUGGAAUAUUCUCGUGUAUUAUUUCUCCUUAUUUUUUCUUCCUGGGAUGCCAAUUACACACAGGUUAGACCUUUUGUUAUUAUAUCGUAUCUCUUGGAUGCUCUGUUGUGUUUCUCCACCCACUCUCUAUCCUUCCCCACUGUUCUGCAAUCCAUGCCAGAAUUGUUAUAAAUCCAGUUUCCACAGAUGUGAGGGUCUGACUGAAGAAACUUCAUUGCUGUUCUCCUCUUAUUCUCCAAAUCCUUGUGGGUUUAUCCCUUUAAAAGAUUGUUUUCUGCCAUUUUAGUGGUCUUGGGAAGGAGUGAAAGGAGAUGCACAUAGUCAAUCUACCAUCUUUACCUGGAAGUCAAGUGUGAGUUUCGUUAUUUAAAUUAAGAUGAAGAUAAACUGAGGCACAGAAGAUUAAGUAAUUUUUCCAAAGAUUCAGAAAUAGAAAAUGACAGAACUUGGCUCCUUAACCACUAUAUGUAUUCUGACUACCUCCAACAAAUUGGAAGAUGGUGGCUUUUAGGUAAUACCUUUGUUUUUGGUCUCUGCAAUCCUUCGUGCACUACUGUUACCUCUCCAAGAGUCUUAAUCUAUGAAUCAGUAAGAACAUAUUCAGUGCCUGUUAUGCGACCAGAAUUGUUUUGUUCACUGCGGAGGUAUAAAGAAAUACAGCAAAAAAAAAAAAACAAAAAAAAAAUACAGCAGGGCUGCUUCCUUCAGGGAGUUUACAUCUCUCUAAGAGAAGGCCCCCACUAGUCUGAAAAUAAGCUUAAUGGUACAAAGUAGUACCAUCAUUCAGGAAGGUGAAAGCUUGAUUUGAUCUGGGUGCUCAGAAACCAUGAAAAACUCAUUAAAAACACUGAUGGUUAUUCAAGAGUAUACUUAGCUUCUGGCUUACCCAUGCUGCCUUUCACUUCUCCCUUUACCUCUUGUUUUUGCAGCCUAAUUUUAGCUACUGUACUGUUAUAAAUAUUUUUUCCUCAGAGCAAAUUAAGAGGAUUGUUUAUAAGCUCAAAAGAUCUUUGUAAAAGUGUAAAGUGGGAAGAGUCUCAAAUUCUUGGUCACAGUGAUAUAUAGAUAUAGAUAUACCUUUUAUUCCAACUAUCUUCUUUCUCUGUCAAGAUGGAUAACUGAGAGUGAACAUGUAUUAACGUUAGGUGUUCUCUAGUAUUUCUGGAAUGGCUGUGAGUAAACAAAGGGUUGAUAGAUGCAAUAUUAUCUUUAGAUUGGCUAGCACAGGGACUGACUCCUAAUAGAUACCUAACAAAUGUUUAUUGUUUCAUGGAUGGAAUGAAUGAAAUUAAAUCCUAAGGUGAAUCUUUUUUAGACAAUGAGGAAAAUCCUCAUGAGUUUGUAUUUUAAUUUGAAGGAAUUUUCCUAAUUCAAUGCACAUCAACAUGUCUUAGGGAGAAAGUUGUUGUAGUUGAUUCAUUAUCCUUACCUGGAAGCUCUUCAGGAUUAAGGGACGGGAUUCACUCAUAGCUUAUGACCACUCCCUCCCUGGGGCAGUGCCUAGAAUUUGUUGGAUGGAAAGUUGAAUCAUUUGACAGUAUCUGGUUUGAGGCUGAAGGAAGUCUAAGGGCUCUGUAACCACCUAUCCCAACAGUAGGUUCUACACAAAACAGUAACAAUAGAAAAAAUUUUCAGGAAAAACUUGGUAAUGUAGUAGUCAGACCAUGUACUUUUUUUUUGGUGUUUUUAUUUUUUUAAUUUUUUUCAAUUAUUGGAGAUUAUAUAUAU